rnacentral:rRNA from 1 species
CGCGUGGGAACGUGCCCUUCACUACGGAAUAGUCCCGGGAAACUGGGUUUAAUGCCGUAUACGCCCUUCGGGGGAAAGAAUUUCGGUGAGGGAUCGGCCCGCGUUAGAUUAGAUAGUUGGUGGGGUAAUGGCCUACCAAGUCUACGAUCUAUAGCUGGUUUUAGAGGAUGAUCAGCAACACUGGGACUGAGACACGGCCCAGACUCCUACGGGAGGCAGCAGUGGGGAAUCUUAGACAAUGGGGGCAACCCUGAUCUAGCCAUGCCGCGUGAACGAUGAAGGCCUUAGGGUUGUAAAGUUCUUUCAGCUGGGAAGAUAAUGACGGUACCAGCAGAAGAAGCCCCGGCUAACUCCGUG